CCAACAUUUGCUAGAAGGUGAAGUCAGCCUCCCUCUGGGGCCCUGAAAGAUCCCCCGGGUUGGGAGGUCAAUGGAGGGAGCUGGGGCCAGGAUUCUUGAUUCCUCCACUUCCUGAUCCCCUUUGGAUAGACAGCUGGGGGCGGGGACAUUCACAGUUGAGAACACUGAGCCGAAGAGUGACAGUGUCACAGAGGAAGAAGGAUUUAAACCCACUAACAAGGUACUUGCUUGGACACCAGUGGUUGUGUGUGCAGGAGACACUGUGGAACGUUCUAGGCUCCUUUUCCCCCCCGGGCCUCAGUUUUCCUGCUCUUGCACCUCUUGGAAGCCUGUGCCCCCGCCGGUUCCAUUGUCAUCUGUCCGAGAGAGCCUUCUGAGGAUUCUGGAAGCUGAGGUCUCCAUCAGCUGCCAUUGACAGGGUCAAACUGUGAAGAAAACACCUCUCGUCUGACAGGUGAAGUGAGAUUGUGACGGAGGAGGCUAAACUGCACAGGUGCUUGCUGACACCAAGACUGCUGUAGGGGGAGCCGGGGAGCAGGUGGGGGGCAAGACACAAAGAGCCUGGUGCCUUGGAGGC